AAAACGUACACAAAAUUAAUGCUUUGAACAGUCUUUAAUCAAUCAGUAUCAAAACACAUCGUGUUUUUAUAAACCACAGACAGGGAAUGUGGUAACAGCUGUGAAUUUGGGAGGUUUAAAAGGUUGCAUAAGGGCAUGUGAAUAUAAUUUAGCAUGUAUUGCAUAUUCUUCUCAUGUUAGCUUGUUUGGUAGGUUAUCUUUUCUCAUAUGUUGUAUAAGAAGUCUCAUUAAAAACUAGAAACUGACAUGUAUUAACAAAAUGGUAAUAGGCUACAACAUUACAUACAACAAACAGCUACUAUAUGCAUGCUCAUUUCAUGUUUUCUUAGGUGCGUCAGAUUUAAUGUCAGGACAGGAGGAGGAGUUUAGCACAGACACUAUACAGCAUACAGCUGGGUAAAGAUGAACAUCACACAACACUGUGUGGAGCAGCUGCUCUGUUUUUAGCUUGUUCUUACAAGUUCAGUGAGUGAACAUGGUGAUCUAUAUUAUUAUACUGCUGUUAUCAACUGAAGAUUCCAGAGCCUCAGAAGUCAUCACUCCAAAAAGUGACAGAGUAUUUGCUCUUGAGGGUGACAAUGUGACACUCUCCUGUAACUACAGCGGUUCUGCUCGUGGUGUUCACUGGUAUCGCCAAUAUGCAGGUUUACCACCACAGUUCCUCAUACUGGAAGAUUCAGGGGCAACAAUUGAAGCUAAUCCACCCAUCCCAGGAAUAACCAUCAAUCACAGAAAAAAAGAAAGCCAUGUGGAUCUGAUCAUCUCCCCAGCUACAGUAUCAGACUCUGCUCUGUACUACUGUGCUCUGCAGCCCACAGUGACAGGAAACCCUAUAACACUGUACAAAACAAUUUUCAUACACUUAUCAAGCCUUGAUAGAAAUGUGCUAACCACAUCUGGUCUCAACAACAAAAAGGUCAAAAAAAAUAAAAAAUAAAACACAUAAUGUACAACUGCUUGUAGUGUAAUUAAGAUAUUGUUAGACAGUAAGCAAUUCAGAGGGGAAUUUCUUCCAUAGAGAUCCUAGACUGUAAAACUAAAUCUGUAAAAUAACAGAAAAAGUACUGGCAGCUCAUUAC